GUCCUUGUGGCGCAAUGGAUAGCGCAUCGGACUCCUAAUCCGGAGGUUGCGGGUUCGAGUCCCGUCGAGGACU
rnacentral:tRNA from 1 species